rnacentral:rRNA from 1 species
GAUUAACGCUAGCGGCAGGCCUAAUACAUGCAAGUCGAACGGGAUUCAAAGUAGCAAUAUUUUGAUGAGAGUGGCGCACGGGUGAGUAACACGUAUGCAAUUUACCUUUAACUGGGGGAUAGCCCUCCGAAAGGAGGAUUAAUACCGCAUAAUAUAUUGAAAUGGCAUCAUUUUAAUAUUAAACCUACGGGGGUUAAAGAUGAGCAUGCAUCCGAUUAGCUAGUUGGUGUGGUAACGGCUCACCAAGGCAACGAUCGGUAGGGGGUCUGAGAGGAUGAUCCCCCACACUGGUACUGAGACACGGACCAGACUCCUACGGGAGGCAGCAGUAAGGAAUAUUGGACAAUGGAGGCAACUCUGAUCCAGCCAUGCCGCGUGAAGGAUUAAGGCCCUAUGGGUUGUAAACUUCUUUUAGACGGGACAAAACCCCUUUACGUGUAAAGGGUUGAUGGUACUGUCAGAAUAAGCAUCGGCUAACUUCGUGCCAGCAGCCGCGGUAAAAUAGCGUA